rnacentral:lncRNA from 1 species
GCAGAAUAUUUAGGCGAAAGCGAGGGGAGGGGGGAGCGCGGGCAGGAGGAGUACCUCGGCCAAGAAAAUUAUGCAUGCGUUAGGCAAGCUCUGAGAGAAUGGCUGUGGAAGCUCUCCACUGUGGUUUGAAUCCACAGAGUAUUGAUCACCCUGCCCAUGCUGACGGAAUUAAACUGCAAAUUGAAGGUGAAGGUGUAGAAUCUCAAUCCAUUAAGAACAGAAAUUUCCAGAAGGUAUCUGACCAAAAAGGAACCCCCAAGAGACUUCAGGGAGAAGCUGAGACAGCAAAGUCAGCUACAGUGAAGCUGUCAAAACCGGUGGCCCUGUGGACCCAGCAGGAUGUGUGCAAGUGGCUGAAGAAACACUGUCCAAAUCAGUAUCACAUCUACAGUGAGUCAUUCAAGCAACAUGACAUAACUGGGCGAGCCCUGCUGAGACUCACAGACAAGAAGCUGGAGCGCAUGGGGGUCGCCCAGGAGAACCAGCGACAGCACAUCCUGCAGCAGGUGCUCCAACUGAAGGUUCGGGAAGAAGUCAGAAACCUGCAGUUACUCACACAAGCCUCGACGGAUUGUUCUCCAUAACCAUGUUAGCCCAGCAAGCCGCUGUCCUGCCAGUGGAUAAGAGUGUGACCUGUUCCCCAGAGAAAUACUGACUCAUGGCCCUGCCAGAAGAGAUCCUUGGAGCACUGACAGAUUAACCAGACUGACUGAGAAAACGCCUAUUCAGUCAAGAUUAUGGACUUUGCGAGCAGAAAAAAAAAAACCUUAGUUUGCUGUGGAUUUUCAAAUGAGGUGCAUAACAUACAGUGCCAACUCAUUCCAAGUGGUCAUUGGCAGACCAUUAGCCAGAAAUUGGCUUCUGGUUUUCAUCA